rnacentral:rRNA from 1 species
GAUUUCUGGCUUGGUGCGCGCCGUCCGCUUCCGUCAGGGAGUGUGUGCGGUUGUGCGCCUGCCAUCUUUUUAGACAUCAUGCUGUGCCCUUCACUGGGUGGCAGGUGGUGGCUGAAUCUUUUACUUUGAAAAAAUUAGAGUGUUCAAAGCAGGCUUGCGCUAUGAAUACAUUAGCAUGGAAUAAUAAUUUAGGACUGCCGUUCUAUUUUGUUGGUUUCUAGGAUGGAAGUAAUGAUUGAUAGGGAUAGUUGGGGGUGCUAGUAUUCAGAGGCCAGAGGUGAAAUUCUUGGAUUCUCUGAAGACUAACUUAUGCGAAAGCAUU